rnacentral:misc_RNA from 1 species
GAUGAAGAACGUAGCGAAAUGCGAUAAGUAGUGUGAAUUGCAGAAUUCCGUGAAUCAUCGAAUCUUUGAACGCACAUUGCGCCUUCUGGUAUUCCGGAAGGCAUGCCUGUUCGAGAGUCAUUAACAACCGUUUCGAUCCCUUUCUUUCAGAAAUUACAAAGAGGAAAAGGGUUUGGUUAUGGUGGAGGAGGGAAAGGGAGCGUUAGCCUGUAAAAAAAGAGGCUGUGUUCCGCCUCCCCCCCAAAAUUGUACAGGCGGUCGUGUGCGCCCACGCAUCGAGGUGUUGUAAAAGCUGCCACGGCACUUUUCACCUGUGCAGUGCGAGAUUGGCCAGCCGGUUUAAAAACCCCUCCAAACAAUCAAAGGUUGACCUCGGAUCAGGUAGGGAUACCCGCUGAACUUAAGCAUAUCAAUAAGCGGAGGA